AUUGAACGCUGGCGGCAGGCUUAACACAUGCAAGUCGAGCGGGGUGAUGGUGCUUGCACUAUCACUUAGCGGCGGACGGGUGAGUAAUGCUUAGGAAUCUGCCUAUUAGUGGGGGACAACAUCUCGAAAGGGAUGCUAAUACCGCAUACGUCCUACGGGAGAAAGCAGGGGAUCACUUGUGACCUUGCGCUAAUAGAUGAGCCUAAGUCGGAUUAGCUAGUUGGUGGGGGAAAGGCCUACCAAGGCGACGAUCUGUAGCGGGUCUGAGAGGAUGAUCCGCCACACUGGGACUGGGACACGGCCCAGACUCCUACGGGAGGCAGCAGUGGGGAAUAUUGGAAAAUGGGGGGAACCCUGAUCCAGCCAUGCCGCGUGUGUGAAGAAGGCCUUAUGGUUGUAAAGCACUUUAAGCGAGGAGGAGGCUCUUUUGGUUAAUACCCAAGAUGAGUGGACGUUACUCGCAGAAUAAGCACCGGCUAACUCUGUGCCAGCAGCCGCCGUAA
rnacentral:rRNA from 1 species